UGAACGCGGCCGUGGUGCUCCCGCCGAGACCCAGAACGUGAGCAGAUCAUCAGGGCGACCUUAGGGAGGCUCCCCAGGUCCGGACGGCUCUUCUGGAGUUCUAGAUGGUGCUCUAAAGGACCACCCAGAAUAAGGCUGGUAGGGGAGUCAAUCCCGCCUUUAGUGACCUUGCUCUACAAAAGUCUGCCCUUCCGGAGUUCAUGAAUCAAACCUCAAACUCCUUCAAAGGGCCUGACCUAUGUGUGGGUGAGGCGGCUGCCAGGGGCCCCCAGGUGCAAGGGCAUGCCAAUCCUGGGUGUUUUUCCUAAGGGCUAAGAGCACGUGCGGCCGGAUAUGGCCACACGGUGCCAGGUCAAUAAAGAGAGGUGAGGAGGACGCUACAGAGGCAGCUUGAGGGGCCCCCGCUGGGGACACCAGUCACGAGCUGGGCCGAACGCCCGGCCGGGAGAGCAUCGGCAGCAGCAGCCCAGCCCAGAGCACACAGACCGAUUCCUCCACGCGCCGUGCAGAAGGGCAUCUCCGCUCCCGAACACUUCGGUUUUAACUUUAAAUCAGUGCCCGCAAACUCACGGGCCUACCCGGGCCAGGUGGGCGGGAGGCGGGCCUGCUGGGGGUGGUGAUGAACCCGCCAGCGCUCACCCCGCCUCAAAUGCCUGCCCCUGGGGCCAGUGACGGCCACAGGGAAGGCUGACCCAGGGGAGCCACUUCAGGGGAAGCCAGAAGUCACUUUUAUUUAAACAUUUCCAAUUUUAAAACGUUGGCAAUUAACACACACACACUUUGUGGACAGAACACCCGAGCGCGGCAGGGGCUCCCGGGGCUGCCUCUGCACGGUCUGCGUGGACGGCCACCUUCGCUUCGCCUGCACAGAUCUAGUCAGCUGAGGGGACGGGGCUGGGCUCCAGUCUGGCCUUCAAAGUGCAGGGACCGAACCCAUCUCCCAGCUUGCCCCCUCCUUUGCGGACCCCCCUCAAGUCAGCGCGACCACCCGGGACGCGCCCUUCCCUCAGCACCGAAGCGCCAGCACCUCUGAGCUGGAAGCCGAGACCCUGCCCCGGCCCGGCCUCCCCGCUGGGGGGGCACGCCCCUCCUCCUCCGUGGCGCCAACUAGGAAGGGGCCUUUCUCUUACUCUGUGCCUGGCCUUCCCGUGUGGGUGACAAAUGCCAGCAGUCAGCAGACACUGGAUAGAAACACAACCGCUGAAGAAAAACGCCCAGAGCCAGCCAGUAAGAUUAGGAGGCCAGAUGGACGCGAGGACGCUGAGGCCUUCUGGAAGGAGAGGGCUGAGUCUGGUCCUGAAACAGCAGCUCCCGAACCAGAUGAGCCUCUGUCCAGCGCACAUUCCAGAAGGGCUUGCUGCACGCUGGGCACUGCCUUGAGAACUUCAUGCAUUGGCUCAGUCUUUAAAGGACCCCAGGAGGGUUCAUGAGCGUGCCUUCUACAGGCUGGGGGCUCAACACGUGCAUGCGGAUUUGGUGGGUUAUACCAACCACUGCCUACACUCCAGGACCUGGAUGGACAGCCACGGCUUUCCCAGAAGCGCCUGAUCAGUGGAAGCCUAACCCCCGUUGCUAGCAGCGCUGUUACACGCUCGCCCUGCCCCCAAGAGCACAGCGUCUGCUGAAGAGAUGUGACCCGGGAACAGGACAAAACCGACUCAAUGACAGGAGUGCGCCAGUUCCUUCCCUGGUACUGCUUUAAAGGAUUUUCUCCUUAAAGGUACUCGUGGCCGUAGCAAAAUUCUGCUCCGCAGAAGGCGGCCGGUGUCGCUCCCUGACCAAGUGGCCCCGGAGAGCAUGGUGACUGGCCAGCCGUGGCCACGGGGCGCGGAGGCUCGCUCACACCACGGGGACUCACCGAGGGGGUUACUGAUUGUGCGCGCGACCUGGUGGCAGAGACGCCGACUUGGAAAGGUCCCCAAGGGGCCGCCCCUCGCCUGUCUGCAGACCCAGGGCAUGCGGGAUCCGCCGGCUGGGCCCACCUCCUCCCAGACCGAGGGGACGGCAGCCCUGCUGACAGGGGAGGCCUGGCGGGCGGAAAGUCACCGCCGGCCUAACAGCGCGCCAUUCGGAAGACGGGAGCCCUCCUGCCGCCACCUACUUGCUGCUCCUGUUGCCUCAUGGGUCCGGAAACAUUGCGCUGAGCCUGUAGCAUCUGCUGCUGGAUCUGUAAACGCUGGUACGCCUGAUGAGAGAGGACAGGUGAAGUCCCGUCAGAAAGUCGGCAGCAAGGGGUCUGACUUGUUAGUAGUUAAAAAAACCAGAAGGCGGAAAGCGGCCAAGGGUCUUGGUCCCCUUACCGCGCGGUGGUUUACCCUACGGGAGGCGGGAGGGGUUUUGAAAGGGGAUGUGUCUCCCGAGUCCUCCCAGGGCAGAGACUUUUACAGAGCAAGUCGGCAGGGCCG